rnacentral:lncRNA from 1 species
CGUGUAGAUUGAGAAAAAAGAGAAUAUACUAUCUUGAACAUCCUCGCCUGGAUUUCGGUCGCCGAAAACCUGAGAGAAUUUCCACUGAAAAGUUGAAGGAGAAGACUCUGAGGUGAAAGUCAUGGUUCCCUGUGACACGACGGCGUGCGAUUAAGCUCAUAAGAACGCCGCCAUUACAGUAUAUUUUUUAGAGCCAGACGACUACUGAGAUUCUGAUUCUCACCUUUCUCUAUUAUCCACUUGAUUUUCCCGGACAAUGUUUCUCUCUGUCUGUCUUGCGGAAAUGUCCAAAAUGCCUUCCCUAUUCUAUAUCGACACAGUGGCGUCUGUUUACCCACGCGGACAUAAAAGUAUCACGCAUCACAUACUGCAGUUGAGUUAAAUAGAUCACGUAAUAUGAGAUUCUGCGCCCAUAUUUUAGGUCCACCAGGAAAAGAUAGGGCUACGGACGGGAACACACUGAAUCUUUAUUCGGCC